GAGUUUGAUCAUGGCUCAGAUUGAACGCUGGCGGCAUGCCUUACACAUGCAAGUCGAACGGCAGCAUGAUCUAGCUUGCUAGAUUGAUGGCGAGUGGCGAACGGGUGAGUAAUACAUCGGAACGUGCCCUGUAGUGGGGGAUAACUAGUCGAAAGAUUAGCUAAUACCGCAUACGACCUGAGGGUGAAAGUGGGGGACCGCAAGGCCUCAUGCUAUAGGAGCGGCCGAUGUCUGAUUAGCUAGUUGGUGGGGUAAAGGCCCACCAAGGCGACGAUCAGUAGCUGGUYUGAGAGGACGAUCAGCCACACUGGGACUGAGACACGGCCCAGACUCCUACGGGAGGCAGCAGUGGGGAAUUUUGGACAAUGGGCGAAAGCCUGAUCCAGCAAUGCCGCGUGCGUGAAGAAGGCCUUCGGGUUGUAAAGCACUUUUGUCCGGAAAGAAAUGGCUYUGGUUAAUACCUGGGGUCGAUGACGUACCCGGAGAUUAU
rnacentral:rRNA from 1 species